UUAAGUUAAAGUUAUUUAAAUAACUAGAGUGUGACACAUGAAACUAUGUAAUAUAAAUAAUAUGAAAAUAAUCAAGUUGGGAGUAUGUGCUUAGCCAAAUAAGGCCUUGUGGCCUUUGGCUUAUUCCAAGUGACGUCUUUUUAUUUUUCUAACUGAAAGACUACGUGGGGGAGUGGCCAUUUUAUUACUUCGCAUCUUAUUCUUCCAAGGCCAAAAUAGCAGAGGGUUUAGAGAGAGAGCUUGGAAGCAAGAGAGAAAAUCUUGUGAUUUUGAGUUUUUAAGAUUGUCAAGAGGAAGAAGGAGAAUUUCUAAG
rnacentral:lncRNA from 1 species